GCCUCUAGCGGAAUACGGGAUUAAAAACGUUCGUCGUUAGUUACGCAAGUUAUCUCCCUUACUCCAAGAAAGGACACACGAAUGAGAAACUACUUGCUGCGGUCUAUAAUGAAUCCAACAAGCACGCCUGUGCUGUCUUAAAACCUCAUAGAAAUUAUAUAAAUAACUCCAAUUAGAAAGCACAGCAUUCUAUACGUUGUUCUGUGUGCUGCCUGACUUAAAAACACUGGUUUUUUUUUUUGUUUUUUUUUUAGACGCGUAGGAGAAGGCAUUUCGUGUUUAUGAUAUCAACAGAAAGAAAAAACGCC
rnacentral:lncRNA from 1 species